AAGUUAAACAUACUCGCACAUAUUCAUAUAUGUAUGUAUGUAUGUAUGUAGGUAUAUCGGUAAUAUUAAAUACGUUGUAGUUUAUUUGUAUUCCCUGAGCGUUGGCGUAGAACUGGUACUCACGUGCUAUAAAACUUGCCGCCGGCUUUGCUAAAGUUGACGAGCAUCACCAUAAAAGCCGUCGAAUUCAUAAACAACAAAUUUGCAAGCAUUGUAGACAUAUUUUACUUCUAUUCUACAACUGUGUACGCUAGGGGGCAUCACUCUCCAUUAAAAAAAUGGUUGGUGCUGUUUCUCCAUCGGAAUUAUGAAAUUUAGUUUGAAGCAGCAGAUAUCAAUGCUAGUUUGCAGUAACACGAUCGAAAUUACAGUAGACUCGGGGUUGAGGGAACUAAUUCGUACAAGGGCUAUUCCCCUCAACCUAGACUUUCUCUUCAAUUGAGAUUGAAAUUAUACAUGUACAGAAGUGGGCGGAUUAUAAAUAUUUUAUUAAUACUGUUGUAUGUAAGGUAGAGGUACAUAGUUUGUGCAGUGAGUGUAUUUAUUUCAUAUAAUAAAAACAUAUAAUUUAAAGAAGUCCAAUAUAGUCCUUUGUUUUUUCUUAGCUUCCAGUGAUUUUUUUACGAAAGAAAGAAAAAUGAUGUGUUCGUGCGAGUUGGUAUUGUGUUCGGUCCAAUGGAUUGCUUUGCCAAAAAUUUUAAUGGCUUCAGCUGCCUCUAUUGUACACUUGUCGCCGUUUAUUUCGUCAUGCUCAUCAGAUGCCUCAACAGGUUGAUUAACAUCAUCGAUAACGCCCUCAGUACUAUUAGCGCAAUUGUCAUCUAUUCCUGUCCAUAUUCUUAGUUCGUUGACACUUAGGUUUGGCUGAAAUAAAAAAAUUGUGUUUCAGUUAAAUUGAGUAAUUCUUAAAAUUCGGAAUGUUGUUGUGCAACUAUCCUCUGUCUUAAAACACUGAGAGGCACAUCAUCCUCGAUACACUCAUCAUUGUCUAUCGGAUGUUUAUAGUCAAGUAAUGGAC